CAAUAGCGUAUAUUAAAGUUGUUGCGGUCAAAAAGCUCGUAGUUGGAUCUCGGCAGGCAGGGGGUGGUUCGCUCUUAGCGCUACUGCCCCAUUUGCCUGUGUGAUUGGCGGAGGUUUCGGGGUGCUCUUCGUUGAGUGACCCGGGGCGCCGUCAGGUUUACUUUGAAAAAAUUAGAGUGCUCAAAGCAGGCUUUUCACGCUUGAAUAUUCGUGCAUGGAAUAAUGGAAUAGGAACUCGUUUCUAUUUUGUUGGUUUUCGGAAAUCGAGUUAAUGAUUAAUAGGGACAAUUGGGGGCAUUAGUAUUCAGACGACAGAGGUGAAAUUCUUGGACCGUCUGAAGACUAACUACUGCGAAAGCAUUUGCCAAGAGUGUUUUCAUUAA
rnacentral:rRNA from 1 species